UUCUACAUAUAAGACUACCCCUAUGCCUCAAAGGUUAUUUCUAAACUUUCCCUAGGUCGUUGAGUAAUAUUAGUAAAAUAUGAGUUCAGAAAACAGCAAAACCAAAAGACAAAAUCAAGAUUCAGCAUAUUUGUCCAAGGGAAGAAGAAGAAGAGUGAAAGCAGCGGUAGAAGAAGAAUGAGGGAUACGACAAAAAUGAAAGCGCUGAGAUCUGGGUUAGUAGUAAUUGGAGCUGUAGCAUUUGGUUACCUGAAUUUGCAGCUAAUGUUCAAGCCCUUUCUUGAGAAAACACAGUCACAACAAGCUCUCCUCCACUCUGAAUCAUCCCAACAACAACAAUCCGAGUCAGACCAAAGCUUAUGACUAUUUCAUUUUAAGUUAUGGUUCAUUUUAUGUAAUGCUUUUGCUUUUUUUUCUUGAUCCCAUGUGGAAAAACUGGUUCAAUAUUUAUAAUUUUCAGCCCUGUAGCUCUUUUCUUAUAAUUCAUUGUUUAAAGGUUAUGGUGCCAACUCACUAUUAUCCAUAUUAUGUAGCUGAUCCUAAUGAUUGUUAAGUAUGUUUACGACAAAGUAGGAGUCGGAAUACAUUACAAAGGGAUUAAAAGGAUACUAGAGUAUCAAUCCUAGGGCUUGAACCUGUGACAUAAAGCAAUUUUUAACCCCUUCUCCACUACACUGAAAUCUUUCCUUUUGUCAAGGGGAUUCAAUUGUUUCCAUUUAAUAAAAAAAGUUGUUUUUGCCGUAUUGUGGAAUGUAAUUUUCCGGCCAAGUGGAUUCAAUUGAACCCCUUGACGACACCUAGCUCUAUUCUUGGUUUAUCCAGCCAAAUGGUGGAUUCAGUAUUUUAAGUCAGUGGGUGGAGUAGCAAUGUGUCUACUGCUUCUUUGUUUCAAUUGUUUUUUUUUUUCACAAUUGAUUUGGACUUAGCAUAAAUGUAUAUUCAAAAAAAAAUGUAUGCACAUCUACGGUCGAAGGCAGUGGGUGCAUCUGCACAAUGCGGCCGUCCUGGUAAAUCAUCCCAUUUUUGUGUCAAAAGCUCUUUAUUGGAUUAAAUUCUUGCUCAUAGAAGUCUGAAUUUGAAACUUAUUUUUAAGUAGAAAGGAAAAAAAUCUUGUCUUUGGAGGUGGACCAAGGCAGUUAUUUCUUGGCCAUGCUAAUAAAGGAUAGGAGGUGCUGAUUGUGUGUUUGGAUGUGAGUUGGGAUAAGGAAGUCAGGGUCUUAGGAAACAUGAUUUGGCAUGGGAUAGAGAGUUGGAAAUGGGGACUCUAUCAAGCUUUGGCUAUUUGAUUAUUUCUAUACUGUAUCUAAUAGUAGCCCCAUGUUUUGGUGAGUGAUUAAAUUACUGAUUUUCUUUUCGGCGAUUUUAACCAAUUUUAUCUUCAACUCCUUUAUUCUAUUUCAAGAGCUAAGGAAUCAAUGGCACUUUGUAUUAGGUGUAAGAGGUGACAUGAAAAUGAUCAUUGAUUUCUUGAGCUGCUAAUCUGCUAUACAAAUGGUUUUGGUUA